AAGGUGCAUUAUGCCACCAAAUUUGCUACAGUGGCUGUAAUUCUUGAACAAUAUGCUGCUGAGGCGUGCAAACACCAACACCAUUAAAGUGGUGCAAAAGCAUUUAGCCUGCUUUAAAGUGUUGUGCACACAUGCCCCUCAUUUUGUCUACACACGGCCCUAGAUGCUAGACAAAUGCAUCUUUUCAUUGCCUGCAUUCAUACUAACUUAGCAAAAUUGGAUCCUCAUCUUUUGACUCUAGAUACCACCGUGGUACAAAUCCACAUGUAAAUAACAGUAGCGCUUACAGUGCUUGUCUAGGAAUUGGGAGGCCUGGUUCUAAGGUUUCCUCAGCCUGAGAGGUUUAAAGUGCACAUCUUCUGCUUCCCUCCUAACCACCAGGCUAUAAGCAAGGCUGGUGAACAGGGCAGGCACUCUCCACCAUUCUGUUGGAAGCUGUGCCUCUGCGCAGAAAGGAAUGCAAGAUUCUUUAGCUUAAAAGACAGAGCACAGAAGGAGGCAUGACACUCUCGGCUGCUGGUUCAGGCCAUUCUUGAUGAGUAAUGAAAUUCUUCACAUGCAAGCAUGAAGCUGAAGGAGAAAGAAGGUUAGGUGAAGUCACAUGUUUAUCAACCCCAAAAGAGUAUGUUGAUUUUUGGAGCGCUGGCGUGGAGCCACAGAGAAGGUUACAGUAUACAGUACAUAAGGGGCAUGUCUACAUGUGCAAUUAAUACGAAGCAAUAAAUUCCAGGGAGUUUAUUGCUCCCGGGCAAGCUGUUUGAAUGUGCAGCCAGAACCACAAGACAUUGAGCUGGGGGGAACAGCCUCAGCUGGCAGGGGACCCUGAGGAUCAGCCUGCCGGGCUGGGGCUGCUUCCCCCAGCUCAAUGUGCUGAAGAGGAGCUCACUGGGACACGAGGGUAGCCAGCAGGCAGCCGCCGGCACUGAAGUACCCUCAUGCCCCAGCUAGCUGGGGCAGCAGUAAAAAACUCCGCAGCAGGAUACUAUUUGUAUUUACAAUACAAGUAAAUACAAUACAUGUAAAUACAAGUACUAUCCUGCUGUAGACUUAAUUAGUCUACUCCAGCCGAAUAGGGGUGCACGUGUAGAUGCACAACAUUUACUGCUGAGCUAAUUAGUCUACUGCACAGUAAACAUAUCAUGUGGAUGCACCCAAGGGGUAUGAUAAAUGAGAAAUAGUGGCUUGGGCAGGAUUGAAAGAACCCAAUAGUAAGAAGAAAAGCUGAUCCUUUGUGGCCUAUCUGGAUCAGCCACAGACCAGUGAUCCUGAUCAGAAGAAUGGACCAAAAAUACCAUUAGAAUGGAAAAUGUGUGUUUAAAAUAAUUGCAGGUGUAUCUAUUCAAUCAGAUGUGCCAUAUUCACUAUGUCAGUAUAACUCCCCUAGUUCUGAUGCAAAUAUAAAUAUGCAGAUAGUAGAACAGUGUAUUCCCAGUGGAAAAAUGUAAACUGUGCUGCUAUAAGGUGCAUUUAUAGCAUAAAAAUACAUUCACAUAAGGGACUUUGAUAAUAUAACUAUAUUGGAAAAAUGAAUAUUCCUAAAUGGCAUAGUUAUUCUGGUACUAAAACAAUGUGAAGACCCAGCCUAAUAAAGUGAUAGUAAGGAAAAAGUUGAUUUAAUAUAGUAGUGAAAGAUCAUCUCAGCAUAUAUUAACCAAAGACUGGCAGUGCCCUCAUCUCCUAUGCUUUUUACUAGGGAUACACUGAUAGAGAUUUUGGGGGCUGAUACCAAUAGCCGAUAUCUAAAGAGGCAUAUUGGCUGGUACUGAUCUGAUAUCCGAUACAGAUGCCAUCGGGCGGUAAGUCUGGUGUGGU